ACCUUGUUUAUUUAUUUCCUAAACUAGACAACCUAGGAUGCGGCACACAUCGAGACAAGCAGGAGCAGUAGGCUAUUUAUGGAAAAUCAUUCAGCUCAGCAAACUGUUCUUUUGUUUGGGAUAAAUUACACUGUUGUCUGUUUUUAGCGCACAUUGUGCUACUAGUACCGUUAUCAGAAUGUGUUACAUCACGGUUAUAAGAAGUGUCCGUAUACCUUAAGUAUUGAAGCACUAGGCUAUCAAGUUCCCUAGAGCCGGACUCAGUUUGUACAUAUAUUUACGGUGAGCUGCCGUGUUGUGUUCGGGACACUUUUUAGAAAAUCUUUUUUUUGUACUCCUAACUUGUGUUUACACCGGAAGUCAGAGGCAUGACUACUUCCCUGGCACCCAGCGAGUCCCUGGCAACCAUUACACAAUAAUGGCGAACAUAAGCAGUGCCAAAAAAUCCCUUUGGCAACAAGUGUGUGAAGAGUAUGAGGCAGAGCAGCCAAGUCCUCCCAGUGCUGUGUGGACAGAUAUCAGCUCAGUUAGCACCCAGCUCUCCCAGUAUAGCACAAGUACACCUUCCCCGGUCUUAUAUGGACUCACCACAGCCAAGGAGUUUGUGGAGGAUGAACCUCUGAGAGACUUUGACCCUCUUCUUAGCCACCCUGCUCUUGCUGGCUACUCUGUGUUAGGAAAACCUUAUCUUUCAAGCCAGACGUGCCUGUCAACAGCUGAAACUACUUCGCCACCACAGCUGCGUGAACCACGCAUUACACGUUUUUUGGAGAGGAGAGUGUUUCCAGUGUUGCUGCCUGGACUGGAGGCUUUGCUAAAAGAAGCCCGGAAACACGGCUGUUUCGAGAGGAAAAUAACAGCAUUUAACCCGUGCGACUUCCUAACUGAGUGGCUCUACAACCGCAACCCCCGCAGGCAAGGACAGAUCCCAGUAAACUUCCAUGAUAUCCCCUUUGUCAAGGACUGGCUUAGCAUGCAAGUUUCAUGGUCACCAGGUUCCUGUCAACUCUCCAGCGUCUCACAAAACACUCCCAGGCCUCCCAUCCCUCUGUUUCUGCUGCUGAGCGAGGAUCAGGCUGCUCUGCUCAUCCAGGCUUUCUGGAGGGGAUACAAGAUCAGGGCACGGCCAGAUGUGCAGGAGCUGCGCCAAUGGCAGAAAGAACUGAGAGAGAACCGUGACAUUGCCAAAACUGUCGAGCAGUUCUGGGUUCUACGAGAGAGCCGGGUUGGCUCUGCCAUGACAGAUCUUCCAGAGAGCCCAGAGCCCGGCAACUCACACGUGUCCAUCCAUGUAAUUUCACCCAGCCCCCAGAGCACCUUGGUCUACACCCCCACCGCCCAGCUGACCCAUGAGGGAGUGUCUCUGUAGAGCAGCAAGGUGGCGGUCCUGUGAUGGACAGCUUUCCUGACCGUCCCAGCCCCUGAUGCACACCGCCUCAGAGUGAGGCAUGUGGAGGGUCAUGUAUCUCCCUUUGCAGCUUGAUUGGAGUCCACCUGUGGUGAAUUCAGUUGACUGGACAUGAUGUGGAAAGGCACACACCUGUCCAUAUAAGGUCCCACAGUUAACAGUGCAAGUCAGAGCACAAACCAAGCCAUAAAGUCCAUUGUCUGUAGACCUUUGAGACAGGAUUGUAUCGAGGCACAGAUCUGGAGAAGGGUACAGAAAAAUUUCUGCAGCAUUGAAGGUCCCAAUGAGCACAGUGGCCUCCAUUGUCUAUAAAUGGAAGAAGUUUGGAACCACCAGGACUCUUGCUAGAGCUGGCCGCCUGGCCAAACUGAGCAAUCGGGGGGGAGA